rnacentral:lncRNA from 1 species
CUUUUCAGGAGCAAACCCAGGAGAAAUUGUUAGAAUUUCUAAGUCAAUACAAAAAUCCCUUAUUCUUGGCCCAUGGAAACAAUAUAGCACACAUCUGGAACUCAUGAUCUUCGUUAUUCCAUAAGGGUUCUAUAACAGCUCUAAUGAUGGGAAACUCAAUUUUUGCUUCUCUGCCUUCAUUCUCCCCACACAAUGGAAUCUACUCAGAAUGGCCAGGGAGCCCUGUAUCUUCAAUAACUGAAGUCAUUUGUGGCCUAUAGUAGUUAAAUGAAAGAA